rnacentral:lncRNA from 1 species
GGCUUUUACUUUUAUAAUUGACAGACAUUUCUAUUGGAGUGGAGAUAAAUCAGAAAAGCGCUGCGAACAAUUCUGACCGAAUUUUUUUCAUUUUUUUUUAUAGAAAUUUGGAUAGGCGUAUAUCAUAGAGAUAUCGAACUCCCAUAAAAGUGUCUUCACUUUCUGCAUUUUUAUAUUGAUAUUGAGAUCAGCUUGAUUGUAUUUUGCAUUAGAAUUAUAACUGUUAUAUUCCUAUUGCAAACAAUAUUAUGUUAUUAAAGUUUUUG